ACAAUUGUAAGGUGUUUUGGAAAGUUUGGAGCUGUAUUCAUAGCUCUUGCAAGACAGGCAGGAGACGCUUUAAUUAAAGUAAGAGCAACAAUGGGAAAGUAUUUUGGAAAAGAGCCAGGGAGCCUGAUACAGAAGUGAGGGUGGGAUAAGAAUUAUCUAAGAGGAUUCUUCAAUCACAUGCUUGUCUUUGAAAA
rnacentral:lncRNA from 1 species